rnacentral:lncRNA from 1 species
GUGAGGGAAGCCCCAGGCUUGUUUGAUUCAAUUUUUGGCCACGAAGCAGUUUGGGGGGAGCCUUUUCUUCAGGACAGCCACAGGUGAGAGAGAGAGGACGAGGGACACAGAGCUCCUGACUCACAGUCCCCAGGUGUCCUAGUUACUUUUUCUCAUUGCUGAGAUGAAAUACCCAACUCACAAAGUUAAGGGAGGAAAGGUUUAGUUAGCUCUGUUUGUAGAGGUUUCAGUCCAUAAUCAGCUGGCUCCAUGGCAAGAGGGCAUCACAGAGGAGAAACAGUUCAUGGUGGGCAGUGGGCAGCAAAGUGACCAAGACACCUGCAAGUGACAACAGCAGUGUCUUUCUGCCCGUUUGAUAGCUCUACCUAAGCUACCUGGCUUAGGGUGGUACCAAACCAAUCAGUGGACUACUUCAUUAAUCACAUGCUCUCAAUCCUAGCGUCACACACUAGAUCCAGCCACCUCUGAAGAAGCCCCACCUAUGACUGCGUGAGGCUUUGGGGGGACAGCUAGACACAAGCAGAACACCAGGAUUCUCUGGGGGCCCCAUCCCCCCACUCUCAGGACCCAGCCCUGCAGCAGGGAGGCCUCCCAGGGAAGCCUCCAGGACCCCACCCUGCACAGUCUGUAGGGAGCAGGAAAAAGGACGACACCAGAGACCCCUGCAGCCGGUCCUGGCCUCCCUGUGAGCCACUAUAACACAAAGCUAAUAUGAAUAAAGAAGAAAGAAGACAUAGAGAGAGAGCUGGGUCUUGGGGCUGAUCGGGGGGCUGCUUUGGGCAGCAAAGACAAAGGCCCCCAAGGACAGCCAGGAUUUACUGGUUACAAGCAUGGGAAGAAAGUGGAGCAGGGUAUGUUUUGAAGACAUCUAAUGAUAUAAGGCCAAACAUCUGGCAUGAUGGCACCAAGCAGGGCUGUAAGGGAGGAGACACUGCUAUCUUGCUUGGAUAGCACAAACUGAUAUUGGGACCAGGUGCAAUUAGCAAGCAACCCAUCAGGUCAGUGAGAAGCCAUAAUUCAGGGGAAAAGGAUUUUAAUUGGGGUCACACUGACCUCAGUUGCCAUAACUGAGCAGAGUCCUGCCACUUCACAGACCAGGACUUAGGCCUCUAUGGCAGCCAUUUGGGGAGGGGCUAUACUCACUCAGUCUGCU